CAAGAGAAGAGUAUUUUCCCGCCUUUCUUUUUUUCUUCACCUUCUCCGCCUCCGUAUGCGUUUUCCUUCGGGAGGCAGCACCACCAAGCACACGUCGCGACGUCCAGAAACUCGGAGAGACAAUCCUGACUGCAAAAAAAUGGAUGCUGUCGAUCGAGGGGAGGGUCAUAAUCCCACCUGCUGCUCACGUGGCUGACUUCACCACUGUCUUGGCCACUCUCUUCGCCUGUUACUAUGUUUUCAACCUAGAGUAUCAGGUGGAAACCUGCACAACUUUGGAAUUUAUUCAGAGGAUUAAUCCUGACUCCACCAAGUGCAGUGCCAAGGAGCAGAUGAGCCGGAAGACUGGGAGAGUGGUGAGGAGAAAGACUUGAUACAUGAACCCCCAUGUGAUCUCCUUCAUCAUGGAGUUCAUGAAGGCUUCACUUCAUGGAGGCUAACUGACUAGAUACAGGGCUCCUGUUUUGUCCAAGCCCAAGGAAGUUUUGUCUAAAAGGUUUGGUAAUGUGCUUUAUGUUCCUGUUCACAAAAAAA